CAAUAUAGAACACAGUUAUGCACCUAUAUGUUACUUUGAACGUGCAUGCAAAAUGGGAUUUUAUAUAAAUAUUUAUAUAUUUAUAUUUUAUCGGUAUGUAGGGCGUAGAAACUGUGUUCGACAUAAUGGAAUUAGAGGAUGAGGAUCGAACAAAACUAUUAAGUCUAAACGACGCACAAAUGGCAGACGUUGCAAGAUUCUGCAACAGAUAUCCAAAUAUUGAACUAACGUACGAACUAUUGGAUAAAGACAAAAUUCAUUCUGGAUCUUCUGUACAUGUGGCCGUUCAGCUGGAGCGAGAAGACGACAUUAAUGGCCCGGUGAUCGCUCCAUUCUUUCCACAGAAACGAGAAGAAGGUUGGUGGGUGGUGAUAGGUGACUCUCGGACAAAUUCUUUAUUAUCAAUAAAGAGGCUUACGUUACAACAGAAAGCUCGAGUGAAAUUGGAUUUUGUUGCGCCUAGUCCUGGGCACCACAGCUACACUUUAUAUUUUAUGAGCGACGCAUAUUUGGGUUGCGAUCAAGAAUAUAAGUUUUCGAUUGACGUUGGAGAUUUUGAAUCCAGCGCUAGUGAUUCGGAUUAGAAAUAAUUGCUAGUUAUAUUUUGUAGAGGGUAAUAAAAUGUGUGUGAAACAUUUUCUUAAUAAAUAAGCAGAUGGUA
rnacentral:lncRNA from 1 species